ACCUGGAUCAUGUUAUUUGUGUUGAACGUGUCACUGCAGAGCUGUCAGUAUGUGUGGAACUUGUCUUUAUUCCCUGAUGUAGGAACAUCUUUGACUUGUUUGAACAUUUUGUUCUGAGUUUAAAAUGAUAAAUGUUUGAAUCCAUGAGGAAAGUCAGAGUCUUUUCAGCUGCAGUAACAUGUUGAUGCUGUCCAUCAGCUCAGCUCCACCAAUGACCUUUAGACUGAGGUCACUUCCUGUAACAGAGUCCUUCAAAGGCUGAUGACAUCACAGCGAUCCAAAGGUUCCUACAAACGUGUCCUUCUUCUUCUCUGGGAUCUGAAGCAUCAGAGGACGGCAUUACAGGUGUGUCUAAACAUUAAACAUCUUAACUGUGUGGAAAAUGACUAUGGAAGCCUACUAUGAGACGGAUUGGCUUGAGUUACAGCUACAUUUACCAGAGGAUCACAGACCCACGCAGUAAACACAAGAGAGAUAAACAUCUUUGUGAACACAGGUCAGCUCUGCAACUGCAGAGUUACUGUUUGUGUCUGUGAACCCUCUUAAAAUCUGGGGUUUGGCUACAGCGGACGAGCCUCAGACGGCCUUUCAGCAGCUCUCCUUGAGCUGUUUCACCAUCUCUCCUUAGAGUGCAGGUCUCUGCUGAGGUUAACAGGCUCUACAGAGCUCUGGGAGGAGAAUCAGUUUCCCAGUUUCACCAGUUGAGACGCAGAACCUCAGCUGGUCUUUGUAAUCUAUUUGAUGAUGUGACAGCAGGCCCAGCAUGUCCAAAGACUGAUGGCACAACGAUUGUGAGCAUGGACGCCGACUUUGGCCUUGGAAGAAAAAGUAUUACUGAGCGCUUGGAUGGAAACAUCAUGUUUGUAAGAGACAAAGAUGUAGAAGAAUAUCUGCUGUCACAUCCUGAUAGCUGGAAACCAGCUGAGCUGAGUAAAUGUUGAAGGAAACUUCGUGUCACUGCUCCAUCACUAAUUCCGUUCCCAGAUGGAAGAGGAAUUAUGUCAUGAAACUGGUUAAAUUCAACCAGCUCAGGUAGGACACAUUUCUAUUUAAGGCCCUGCAACAGCCUCAUGCAUUAAACUAUAUUUAGUGUUUUGUUGAUAGAAUUUCCAAUGGUACGAUUUCAAAUGUUAGCAAACAGAGAGUGCUCUUCAAACAGCUGACAGACACGACCACAUUACAAGAAGAUGGUGUCAGUCCAAUUUGAUUUUCCAGUUAACGCUGAGAGACCUUGAUCAGGAAGUCAGAGGUCAACUGAUGCUACGAGCAGGAAAGGAUCGCUCUACUCAAUGUCAAAAGAAAACAUCCUGGGAAGCUGUGGUUGCUUCUUAGACUAUCAUGACCUGGAUGACUGAGAACCUACGCAGACACGUUCUGAAGACAGACAGGGAGUCGCUAUACGGCUGUCCAAGCAAACCCACGUCUGUAACAGAGACUGAAGAAGAUUGUAACAGAGUCCAACACUCUGCAGUUGCCUCCACAGUCCACCGUUUUCACAUCACAAGGACAAUUUCAACAUGUCUGUGAAGUCUCCUUGUCCUUGUACUCAUGCCUUGAUGAACAAGUUUGUUUCAUGAAGAAGAUGAUAUUCCAACAGAGCUGAAAAGGAGAGCCUUCGCUGGCUUACAUUUGAAGAGCAGAGCAGCUGAAGAAGAGCUGUGACUCCACCGUGAGAUGGACGCUGUGAUUCAUCACCUCCACCAGCAACACACUGACCUGCAUUCAUCCAUAGAUGACACUCAGGACUCUGGUUCCACAGCUGUUCUUGUUCACAGCAGCAUCCAGUUAGAGAGGAAACUGUAUAAUACAAUGAUGAUGUUCCAGCGUCAUGUUGUUGCUCCUCCUCCUCAUGCUCACCUGCCAGAGUUUAACUCCGCCUCUCAGACAGUCAGGUCACCUGAUCUGCAUGUUUUGCUGUACGAUGACGUGAUCUUGACGUUGACGAGGAGAAAAACUAGUUUUGUCCUGCAGAUGGCGAUCUUGUACCGUGUUCAGAGAGCCGACACUUUGAUGAUGCUGCUCUACUCAACUUAUUUUAGCCUGGGUUGGACUCUAUAUGAGCAGCUUCCACUCUGGUUUCACUGUUAAAUACACUUCUUUGAUUUCACUUGUAAAAGCUGAAAAAUAAAUAUUUUAAUUACAAAAUUAUUUGUUGGUACAUUUUUUUGAGGGUCAAAUAUCUUGUUUGAUUUGAGGAAUGAACUGUUAAGGUGGAAACAAUGAACCAGGUUAAAAUACUUUAAAUCAGUGCAGAUGUAUAAUGUAAUUUAACAUGUUGAUAAUGGUUGUAGUGGGCUUGUAAUGUAAAUGUGAUUAAAUGUGACAUUAAUGGUGACGCUGCAUAAACCUGAUCAAACAGUUCUAUUAGUGGGUCUGUGUGAUCAGCAUCAGUGGGUUAAGGUGAGGCCUUGACUAGUAGAACGUCAUGUUGGUGUCUGACAACACAUGAGCCAACAUCAGACUCCGAGCGCUACGAUGCUAAAGAUCAGAAGAUCCAGUGUGACAUCAUCGUUACCUGGCAACAGCAGCCCUCAUCUGACUUUAUUGGAGGAUAUUUACACCAGCAACACUGUUUAGUUUGAUAUGACGGAUUAACAACAUGCUGUGAUAUCCAGUUCAUCUGUAAUAGAUACUGGAUCUAAUCAGUCAGCAGAUAUUUGAUCAGCUUAUUUAUAACUAUACUAGAAACAAACACAACUGUGUUGGUGAUUCAUGCAAACUUGCAUAUCAGCCUUUGAAGGUUUUGUAGUAUUGAGAACAAAGAGGU